GCUUGCUAUUCGCCGACGACCGGCGCACGGGUGCGGAACGCGUAUGGAACCUGCCCCUGUCAGGGGAAUAGCCCAGAGAAAUUUGGAUUAAUGCCCCAUGGUAUCGAAUCACUGCAUGGUGAUUUGAUUAAAGAUUUAUCGGACAGGGAUGGCCAUGCGUACCAUUAGCUGGUUGGUGGGGUAACGGCCCACCAAGGCAACGAUGGUUAGGGGCCCUGAGAGGGGGAUCCCCCACACUGGUACUGAGACACGGACCAGACUCCUACGGGAGGCAGCAGUGAGGAAUAUUGGACAAUGGCCGGAAGGUUGAUCCAGCCAUGCCGCGUGCAGGAUGACUGCCCUAUGGGUUGUAAACUGCUUUUACAUGGGAAGAAACCUCCCCUCGUGAGGGGAGCUGACGGUACCAUGAGAAUAAGGACCGGCUAACUCCGUGCCAGCAGCCGCGGUAAUACGGAGGGUCCGAGCGUUAUCCGGAAUCAUUGGGUUUAAAGGGUCCGUAGGCGGGCCUGUAAGUCAGGGGUGAAAGGCCACGGCUCAACCGUGGGACUGCCCUUGAUACUGCAGGUCUUGAGUUAUAGUGGGGUUGCCGGAACAUGUGGUGUAGCGGUGAAAUGCAUAGAUAUCACAUAGAACACCGAUCGCGAAGGCAGGUGACCAACUAUAUACUGACGCUGAUGGACGAAAGCGUGGGUAGCGAACGGGAUUAGAUACCCCGGUAGUCCACGCCGUAAACGAUGGAUACUAGCUGUCGGGCCUUCGGGCUCGGCGGCCAAGCGAAAGUGAUAAGUAUCCCACCUGGGGAGUACGUUCGCAAGAAUGAAACUCAAAGGAAUUGACGGGGCCCGCACAAGCGGUGGAGCAUGUGGUUUAAUUCGAUGAUACGCGAG
rnacentral:rRNA from 1 species